UUGCACGCUGGCGGCAGGCCUAACACAUGCAAGUCGAACGGUAACAGGAAGCAGCUUGCUGCUUUGCUGACGAGUGGCGGACGGGUGAGUAAUGUCUGGGAAACUGCCUGAUGGAGGGGGAUAACUACUGGAAACGGUAGCUAAUACCGCAUAACGUCGCAAGACCAAAGAGGGGGACCUUCGGGCCUCUUGCCAUCGGAUGUGCCCAGAUGGGAUUAGCUAGUAGGUGGGGUAACGGCUCACCUAGGCGACGAUCCCUAGCUGGUCUGAGAGGAUGACCAGCCACACUGGAACUGAGACACGGUCCAGACUCCUACGGGAGGCAGCAGUGGGGAAUAUUGCACAAUGGGCGCAAGCCUGAUGCAGCCAUGCCGCGUGUAUGAAGAAGGCCUUCGGGUUGUAAAGUACUUUCAGCGGGGAGGAAGGGAGUAAAGUUAAUACCUUUGCUCAUUGACGUUACCCGCAGAAGAAGCACCGGCUAACUCCGUG
rnacentral:rRNA from 1 species